GACGAACGCUGGCGGCGUGCUUAACACAUGCAAGUCGAGCGGUAAGGCCCUUUCGGGGGUACACGAGCGGCGAACGGGUGAGUAACACGUGGGUGACCUGCCCUCAGCUCUGGGGAUAAGCCUGGGAAACCGGGUCUAAUACCGGAUAUGACUCCAUGACGCAUGUUGUGGGGUGGAAAGCCUUGUGCGGCUGAGGAUGGGCCCGCGGCCUAUCAGCUUGUUGGUGGGGNGAUGGCCUACCAAGGCGACGACGGGUAGCCGGCCUGAGAGGGCGACGGCCACACUGGGACUGAGACACGGCCCAGACUCCUACGGGAGGCAGCAGUGGGGAAUCUUGCGCAAUGGGCGAAAGCCUGACGCAGCGACGCCGCGU
rnacentral:rRNA from 1 species